rnacentral:piRNA from 1 species
UGAGGGUCGGGUAUGAGCACGGAUGCUAAGC